rnacentral:lncRNA from 1 species
GUUGCCUGGUGUAGUUCCCCAAUAGGAACAGACUAAUACUCGAUUAUGUCUUGCCCGUAAUGAAGUACACUAUGAAUAGUAGCUGUUAAGACCUCUGCUUAGAUAUCGUUCCAAGACGUGCACUGAGACCGGAACAAUUCUGUUUAGAAGGUGGCUACACUUCCUUUCAUGCUUGUUCAUCGAAGACGAUUGAAAAUAACAUUUUGGCAUCUCCCUCUGGCUAAGCUAAUAGCAUCAACCAAAGAUCACCACACCCCAUACCCCACACCACACUCUCUACCCACUUUGUUGGCGGGGGGUAUCUCACUUUAGCAUAAUCCCUGCUUAAUUGCUGCUCGGUUUGAG